GGUUAUGGCACUUCAUGGAGUCCUGCACUCUGAGAUUCAGGUAUUUUACCCCAACCUUCCCUUCAAUAUCUCCGUGUGUGUUCAGAGAGCAACUUCAACAAUGCUCAAGUUAAGUACAUAUUAUCAAAGGAGAUAUUCACCUUUCCUCUUUAACAGAAUCAGAUCCUAAUUGCACCUAAUUAUGCUGGGAACUGAGGAAUCUUCCAUAGUUUUUCCCUUUGUGAGAUUUCUUAUAACAAUAGAAUACUUAAAAAGGGAAUUGGCACUGUGAACCAAACCAUUAAAGAAUUUUACGUAGCAUUUGUUCUUUCGCCUGGCUUCCAUUAAGGGGUGGAUGGCACACGAAUAUUGACUCACUGAGUGCUAGGUGCUAACAUUUUUUUAUCUUUAUUCCUUGUCUCGUAUCAGUGCAGUGUUGCCACAAUAACAAACAAACAACUAUUCUAAUAGCUUGGUUCAUAGCAAAUCUUUCCACUACAUUUGGGAGCCCCAUCUGAUCAUACGAAGUUUGUAUCCUCAUGUAUAUAUGGAGCUCCCAAAAUUAUCUACAAAUUGGAAAAAAAAAAGUUCGUUUCUCAGUGCACGAGACUUCCUGCAAUAGAAACAAAUGCAAAGAAUUGAUGAGAAUGCAAAGAGCAGGAAACAAAUCCAGAACAGAAAUUUUAGUACUGCAGUAUUGUCUAUAUAGUGAACCUUUAGCAUUCAUCUAUGUUGCACAUAUUUGUAUGCUUAUA
rnacentral:misc_RNA from 1 species